CCAAGUUUGUAGUCUGUGUAGCAGGGUGGAUGGUGGUGCCCUUCACUAAAGUAAAGACGACAGUGGAGAACAUGUUUGGGUUACAUAAGCCUCCUUGAUGUUGGUGGGUUCAGGUGGGACAUUUGAAAUGCCUAUGAAGUCAGGAGGGAAUUGAAUAUCCUGAUUUGUUUUUAUUCACUAGUUAAAGCUUGAAAAAUUUUCCUUUUUUGACAUUAAAUCUUGUUGUUGUUUUAGGAGACGGUGGCUCAGGGAGUAAAGGAAGGCCAGUUGAGCAAACAGAAGUGUUCCUCUGCAUUUCAAAACCUUCUUCCUUUCUAUAGCCCUGUGGUGGAAGAUUUUAUUAAAAUCCUACGUGAAGUUGAUAAGGCGCUUGCUGAUGACUUGGAAAAAAACUUCCCAAGUUUGAAGGUUCAGACUUAAAACCUGAAUUGGAAUUACUUCUGUACAAGAAAUAAACUUUAUUUUUCUCAC
rnacentral:lncRNA from 1 species